rnacentral:rRNA from 1 species
GACGAACGCUGGCGGCGUGCUUAACACAUGCAAGUCGAACGGAAAGGCCCUGCUUGCCGGGUACUCGAGUGGCGAACGGGUGAGUAACACGUGGGUGAUCUGCCCUGCACUUCGGGAUAAGCCUGGGAAACUGGGUCUAAUACCGGAUAGGAGCCAUUUUUAGUGUGAUGGUUGGAAAGUUUUUUCGGUGUAGGAUGAGCUCGCGGCCUAUCAGCUUGUUGGUGGGGUAAUGGCCUACCAAGGCGGCGACGGGUAGCCGGCCUGAGAGGGUGGACGGCCACAUUGGGACUGAGAUACGGCCCAGACUCCUACGGGAGGCAGCAGUGGGGAAUAUUGCACAAUGGGCGCAGGCCUGAUGCAGCGACGCCGCGUGGGGGAUGACGGCCUUCGGGUUGUAAACUCCUUUCGCUAGGGACGAAGCUUUUUGUGACGGUACCUAGAGAAGAAGCACCGGCUAACUACGUG